AUCUUUUCUCUCCCUCUCUUUCUCUCUAUUCCUGUAAUAAAGGUGGUGACCAUCCCUUUAAGAGCGGCUCCUGUAAUAAAGGUGGUUGACCAUCCCUUUAAGAGCUGUGUGUGCAGUGUGGAUAUAGUGUGAACCUGCCCAGAGAGCUGGAUUGUGGAGCAGCGAGUGUGUCUCUGCCUGGCUCACUCCUCUCACACACACCUUGCCGCAAGCCUGGACAGAGGGACACAGAGACGGCAGCUACCCACUGAGCCUCUCUCCUCCCUGGGCUGUGAGACCAGACCUCAACCCCCUCCCGCUAGCUGAGGACCAGGAGACCCACCUCUAGAGACCCACAGCAGACCUCAGAGCAAUGUGACCACUGACUGAACCAAGCCAGGACCAAACAGGCUGUUAUGGAUCUGAGAAGAAGAAGGAACAGAAGAAACAGCACGCUGUGAAUCCCUGCUGGUCCAGAUAUUAAAACAGAGGGGUGAGGGAGGGACGAUGGGGGAGAAAGAGAGACAGAGACAGAGACAGAGAGACAUGGACAGAGACAGGAACAGAGACAGAGACAUGGACAGAGACAUGGACAGGGACAGAGACAGAGACAGAGACAGAGACAGAGACAGGAACAGAGACAUGGACAGGAACAGAGACAGAGACGGGAACAGAGACAUGGACAGAGACAGAGAAAUG
ensembl:lncRNA